GGGGUUGACUGGUUUCGACAGCAAGAUCAAUGGGUAAGUAAGCAUGCAGAGAACCGUAGCGCGAUCUCUUUAAUCCCUUGCUACAAAAUUUUAACUGGCAACGAAGAGUUCGCUCUUGCAGCUUAAUAUCGAAGUUUAGUAGAUUCAAGCGCUUUCCCGAAGAUUUUAGUAAGGAAGCAAGAUGUCUCACAAAUGCUCUGUUUUGCGGCGUUUGAUCCUGAGAUAUAGGAAUGCAAAAAUAAGGUUUUAGAUACUUUGACUAAAACUCGAAAACCUCAGAAGAUAAGCUGGAUGUUGGGUGUCUGCUCUCUGCCUCCAGUCGAAAACCAAUAGUAGAAUAAGCAUGUAGAAAGUUUAUGUAUUGCUUGUUUGGACGAGGGUUCGAAUCCCUCCAACUCCACAA
rfam:Chryseobacterium sp. T16E-39 chromosome, complete genome.